GAUCUUUCCAACCCAGGGAUUGAACCCAGGUCUCCCGCACUGCAGGCAGACACCUUACUGUCUAAGCCACCAGGGAAGAAGACCAGUAGUACUGGUGGUAGUAUAAAUUAGCAUAAUCAUUUUGGAAAAUAAUUUGGCAUUACCUAGUAGAAUGGGAGGUAAAAAUUAUACUUUAUGUACCUUAAGAAAUUCGUCCACAUACACACCAUGUAAAGGAAUAUUCAUAGUACAGUAGCACUACUAAUAAAAAAUAGCAAACAACCCAAAUAUUUACCAACAGUAGAAUGAACAAAUUGUAGUAUAUUGUAUAAAACUAUAUGACAGUGAAAAGUGAUCACUCACAGGAGAAACAAGUCACAAAACAAUAUGUACAGUAAAAACUUCUUUAUAUAAAGACAAAAAGCUGGCAGAAGUAAUCAAUAUAUUGCAUAGAAGAAAAAGUAUGUUAGAUCUGUGAAUAAAAGCAAGCAAAUGAAAGCUCCAAGUCAGUAUAAAUGGUUACCUCUAAAUAGAGAGGAAAGGGAUGGGUACACGGGGUACAAAUGUUUUUUAAAAGAAAAAAAUUUAAAAAAAAAUAGGAGUGGACAUAUACAUAAUCAUCAAAAUUUUAUUCUUCAGAUCUUGAUAUAUUUUAAUAUUUAAGUUAAAAAACCUUUUAUAAAGAAAAUAUCAUAGAUCUUGAACUAUUUUUGUUUAGGGGAGGAAAAUUUAACGUGGCUACAUUUUAAGGGGAUAAUGAGCUAUUUCUCAUCAGUGGGUGUAAAACCAAGAAGAGAAAAAAGUAAGGAAAUGGAAAACGGAAAAUUCUUACAUAAGGGCUCGGCAACAGCAGAUAGCCCACCUUUCCCAGGGAGUCUGGUUAUUCAAACGGCCUAUGGAAGUAGAGCAGAUUGGUACACUCACCAAAAUAAUCUUGCUGACCUGGGCUGUGUUCCCCAGAGGAUGGGGCCCCCCUUACUUUUUUUUAUAUCAUUAGCCUUCUGAGGAUGGGCUAAAGUUGCUUCCAAUUUGAAAAUUACCUUGGAUCACAAGCUGAGGUUUUUAAUUUGUUUAUACUGAUUAUUAAGCAACCUGAGAUGGGAAUGAAUACCA
rnacentral:lncRNA from 1 species